GUACCGUGAGGGAAAGUUGAAAAGAACUUUGAAGAGAGAGUUCAAUAGUACGUGAAACCGUUCGGGGGUAAACGGACAGAGCCCGUGAAUCUGGGCGGCGGAAUUCAGGAUGGCCGGCGCACUUUCGCGGCGCGUCGGUCGUUUGAUAUUUCCGUCGCCGAUCAACCGCAGACGUCGCGACCUGUUCGCGGUCGGUCCCUGCUCGGAGGAGCUGCGUUCGAGUUCGUUGUGUACGCGUU
rnacentral:rRNA from 1 species